GAUGAACGCUGGCGGCGUGCGUAACACAUGCAAGUUGAACGACGGUGUCAUGAAGUGGUAACACGGAAUGGCAUACGGAGUAGCGGACGGGUGAGUACAACAUGAGAAGCUGUCCUUCAGCGGGGGGCAACGUCUGGAAGCGGACGCUAAUACCCCAUAGGCCGAGAGGUUAAAGCAGAGAUGCGCUGGAGGAGGUGCUCGUGCCCUAUCAGCUAGUUGGUGAGGUAACGGCUCACCAAGGCGACGACGGGUAGCCGGCCUGAGAGGGUGAACGGCCACACUGGAACUGAGAUACGGUCCAGACUCCUACGGGAGGCAGCAGUGGGGAAUAUUGGGCAAUGGGAGGAAUCCUGACCCAGCGACGCCGCGUGAACGAUGAAGGCCUUAGGGUUGUAAAGUUCUUUUAUGUGGGAAGAAGG
rnacentral:rRNA from 1 species